rnacentral:tRNA from 1 species
CGGGGCGUAGCGCAGCCUGGUUAGCGCGUCUGCUUUGGGAGCAGAAAGUCGCCGGUUCGAAUCCGGCCGCCCCGA